GAAGCUGGAUUGGCCAAAGGAAAUGGCUAAAAACAGAUUUGCAUUCAAGCCUAGUACACAUAUGGAUAGGUUACAUUCCUGCUAACACUGAAUGUGUGCCUGCCAGCUUGUGUUUUGGCGAAGCCUGAGAGACAUGAUCCUACUCUUCCCCUGUGCAUUUCCAUAGAUAUGGAAGGAAAUGUCUCAAGACAUCAUAAAUUGUUGGAUUUUAUACAUUAAUACUAUUUUUUUCACUUGGAAGUAUGUCUAGAUUAAUUCAGUAGGUAAUGUCUUUAAGCCUCAGUGAGAGAGGCAUGCUGAAGCCAAUUUUAUAAUUGUUUCAUUUUCCUGUGUAUGUUAAUACGAAAAUGAGCUUCUGGAUUUCACUGAGUCCAGAUUAGAAAAGGUCUGAAUCAAUCCAAACUGGACUGUGACAAGAUUGACAUAACUAGGUUAUGCCCUGAAAUGAAUCAUGGGAUCCCUUCCAUGUCCCAGUCUGAUGGACUGAAAUCACCAGGCAAACCUGAAUUAUCACUUGGUGACUUUGCAUAUUGAGCUAUUCUUUAUGGAAUGGCUAUGUGAACAUAGGUUAUGCUUCUAUGUGAACAUUGACACACAAACACAAUAUUAAAGUAUUUGUUAACUUAUUAACACUCCUAAGAGAUGACAAUAAUUUACAUUUCUAAAAGAUAUUAAUUAGAAGCGUUCUCCUAAAAUUGCUACAGCAUGUGUACUGACAUCCUAAUUUUAUGAGUUGGUAGAGUUAAUUUUCUUUUAAAGAAAAUAUGGCAGGAUGUCAUAAAACUCUUUAUCUUUCUAUCCAGGCUUCCUUGUGCUAUAUAAAGCAAUGCUGGCAUUUUCAUGCCAUUUGAGUAGGAGUCAGUGUUUAGUCAUCCAAUUUUAUAAUGUAACAAUCAUUGUAUAAUGUAUAUUUUCAUAGUAUAUCCUGUAGUGCCCUGGAAACCCUUGUGAAUGAUGGGUAGUUUAUUAAAUUCAAAACUACAUAUAGCAUGCCUACCAUUUGAGAUGGCCUAGUACUAACUGGCAGCAGGGGGAGUUAUUUGCUAUCGAGUUUGUUUCUAGCAAAGCUGGCAGCAAAGCCACAGUUAUUUUAUUAGCUCCAUUUAUAUCUCACAUUUCCCCACUGAGCAGAAGGUGGUAUGCAUGACCCUUCAUCUCAAUGCUAUCAUACCAACCUCCCUGUUAAGUAGGUCAGGUCAGGAGAUUGACUGCCCCAAGAUCAAGCAGUGAACUUAUAUCUCGGUGCACCCUUGAAAUGGAUCUUCCAAGUCACACUUUUGUCAUUAUACCACACUGGCUUUCUGCCAGCUGUCUCUCUCACACAUACAUACACACACUCCUCCUAAAUCUUAUUCCUCUGUUCACCUCUUUUUCUAGAUUCAGAGGGCUCCACCCCAAGACUCUGCCCAGGUACUAGUGUUUUUGUUGUUGUUCCAAAAGUUGGCAUUGCUAUCUUCAAAGGACUGCUGGUGUGACCAUUAACACCGCACAGAAAAAUCAAAGCCUCACACUGCUUUUCUGCCUGAGAGGUUUUAAAGAAUGGAACCAUGUCUCUAUUUAUGUGCCAUUCAUUAUUAGUGAAAUAAAAAUGCCACGUAAAUAUUUCAUUACAGUGAGUCCUUCAUAAUGGAAUAAAAUCAACAUACUCUGAUAAAUGCUGCUUUGUUAUUAUGGUUUGCUGGGAGGUGACCAAGCUCGUAACAUGUUUUUCUUUCCCCAGACAAUAACUACAGCUGUUGCCCCUUGAUUCCAUGCAGUCAUAUUUUAUCUGUCUAGCAACCCAAUGAACUGUCUAUUGUUAAAAUGACAAGCUGGCUCUAUAGCUUCACAUUAAGGGAACCUGUGAACAGAAUAACACCUUGUGCCUCUAAUGAUAUCAUUGGGAUAAGUAUUUUCAGGUAGUAUUUGGGUAGUGGCUUAAAAAGGACAGCUGUACUCCUCUAAUUUUAAAAUAGUGUUAGAAGUCACCAAAAAUUGUGCAGGUCGUAUCCUACCUAGAGAUGUAUGGAAAGCAGGCCUGUAGCGAGGUUCAACCCCCCCCCCCCCGAAAUUUUUCAGGUUAUAAAAAAAACUUGGUUUACUCAUGAAUUUUAACUGGUUAACCAAAUCCCCAUGCUAAGUCUAUGAGACACAAAACAUUAAGAGUCCCUCCAGGCACUAUUUCAAGCAGAUAUUGACAGGUUUGUAGCGGGGAGAGGUGUGUGCUAGGGGUUCAACCCCCCCCCCCCCCCCCGAAAUUUUCAAAACCCCUCCCGAAAUUUUUUUCUGGCUACGGCCCUGAUGGAAAGUAUACCCAUAGUUUUAACUUGCUUGACAAGAAAGCAUAAUUUGAUAUAAUGAGACACUGGGCACAUCUACACUGAUCAUUUAGGUCUGUGUGGGGCCAGAUCAGUUCUCUGGUUGUCAAAUACUGCACAGAAUUGAUUUAGGGUAAUGCAGGGCCACAUCAAAGCACCUUUGUCCCACAUUAACAAAACACAUUAAUGGUGUUAAUUGACUUCAGGUGCCUCUGAAUAGUUGUGUUGGUUUCAGAACAGAACCAGCCACAGCUGUUCCCAUUGCCAUUCCAUGUAUCCCAGGCUCAGGAAUCCCAGGGACAUGGGUUGACAGUCACUGUCUCACAUGCAAAAAUGAAACAAGGAAUUGUUUACAUCUCAAGUAUUUCCCAUCUUUUUGAAUGUGAUUCAGAAGUAUUGCAAGAACACACAUUGUCCAAGCAUGUGAUGCAGAAGUAUAGGGGUACUUUCUUGGGACAUCUUCUGUCCAAUCUAAUGCAUGUGGUCACUCAGAUAGCCACAUAUCCAGCAUGGUGCAGAAAACAUACAACCUCAUCACACUCACCAAAUUCAGCAUCCUAGAAUGCUUCCAGAUUGUUUUGGGGACGGAGCUCCAUACUGGCCAUUACAUGAUGUUGUGUAACUUCUGUCAGAGGCCCACCCCCAACCUGGGUGGAAGCGUUCUUGGAUACUUCCCUCACAACAUGGAAAGCUCCAAUGGAGCCAGAACAGAUCUUUCUCAGAAAAGUGAUGCUUUGCACAUGUCAUGGAAGAAGCUUCACCAAGAAGGAGCUGUGCAUGAGGCAACGGAUUCACUCCACUGGCCCUCUCUUUCCUCCGCAAAGGCAAGCAAAGAUCAUAAUCUGCUAGGGCCCUUACUCACAUGGAGGAGAUGUUCAUGCAUAUGUCUUCAGAUGCACAGGAGCAAAAUUUGGAAGAUAUGUAGAGUGCAGAUGCAGUAAGAUGGGUUUGUUUCACAGGCACAAACCUUCACUGCUCUUUCAUUAAUUAUGCUGAACAUUUCCGUUACUGCAAUGAAAGAGGAAAUGCAAGGACCUUGGGUAUCAUCAUGGACUUCAGAUAAUGAUACUGGGACAGAGUCAAGUGAUCUACUGGAGAAUUAUAUGUACUUGCUGCCUUCAGAAUCCUCUUCAGAAAGUGGAAUCAAGCUGUGAAACAUCAAGCCAUAUGAUUUUUGUCAGACAGUAUGAACACUGUAAAUUAGACAGCUCUCCUAAAAAUAUCAGGUUAUAAAUAAUCUUCUGCUAGUUGCUUUAUACACACAGAGUCAUACACAUCCUAGUUACAAGGAAGAACUACAAUAAUUCUAAAAUUGGAGAACGCAUCAUACAAGUUUGAAUUUCAGUAAGGUGCCUGUCUCUGACAGGAAUUGUGUUCAUGUUCAGGGAAGUAGCUGUAAAAUAACAUGAAAUUCUCAUUACUUGCUGAGACUUUAUGAUUUGAAACUUUCAGCAAAUACCGAAAUACUAUGUUGACAGAAAUAUAUCUCAAUUGAAGAACACAAAAAUAAGAAAAGAGAAAUGAUAGAUGUGCCCUACACCCCAAUCUCUUGUUUCUUGGCCUUGGCAUGUAAUGUAUUUCAUAUUGGCAUUUCAAGCUAUUUCCCAAGAUCUUAUAGAAGUUUGAUUUAGCAUGCCCUGAUCUCUGCAUGGAGUAUUUUAGAUAUGAUUUUUGUGUUGAACUUGCAAUGCUUUAGUGUAUUAUUUCUAAUUCAUGUGAAUUACCUCAAUCUCAGAGCUCCAUUAACUUGCACUUUACCAUUCACAGGCUGGCAACAUACCAAUUCUCACAUCUUAGUACUAGAAGAGAAGAAAAGACAGGGAAGGCAGGUGUGGAAAAUAGGCAAACAUUGAAGACCAUUCACCAAAUAUCAGGCUCAUUGUAGCCCUGUUAGAUCUUAGCUACCAGAAGAGGGAACACUGAGAUGUCAAAGUUCUGGUGAUCAGUUUUCUUACUGCAUUUACAUGAUGAGAAUGGAGCUCUGUUGUGGGAAUUUUGCCAGUGAUGGUUCAUUGUGUGACUGUGAACUCUAUUUGAAAAUCAUUUUCAAAUCCAGAAGACAGGAGCAGAAUUCAAAACGAUCCUGACAGAUUAGAGAGAUGGGUCGAAACUAACAAAAUGAAGUUCAACAGGGACAAAUGCAAGAUACUUCACUUAAGCAGAAAAAAACGAAAUGCAAAGAUACAGAAUGGGGGACGUCUGGUUCGACAGCAGUACAUAUGAAAAAGAUCUUGGAGUCCUUGUGGACAACAAGUUAAGCAUGAGCUACAGGAAAGGAGAUUUCAAACUACAGGAAAGGAGAUUCCACCUGAACAUCAGGAAGAACUUCCUCACUGUGAGGGCUGUUCGGCAGUGGAACUCUCUCCCCCAGACUGUGGUGGAGGCUCCUUCUUUGGAAGCUUUUAAGCAGAGGCUGGAUGGCCAUCUGUCGGGGGUGCUUUGAAUGCGAUUUCCUGCUUCUUAGCGGGGGGUUGGACUAGAUGGCCCAUGAGGUCUCUUCCAACUCUACUAUUCUAUGAUUCUAUGUGAUGCAGCAGCUAAAAAAGCCAAUGGGAUUUUGGCCUAAAUAAAUAGGACUAUAGUGUCUAGAUCCAGGGAAGUCAUGCUACCCCUCUAUUCUGCCUUGGUCAGACCACACCUGGAAUACUGUGUCCAAUUCUGGGCACCGCAAUUGAAGGGAGAUGUUGACAAGCUGGAAAGCGUCCAGAGGAGGGCGACUAAAAUGAUCAAGGGUCUGAAGAACAAGCCCUAUGAGGAGCGGCUUAAAGAACUGGGCAUGUUUAGCCUGCAGAAGAGAAGGCUGAGUGGAGACAUGAUAGCGAUAUACAAAUAUGUGAGGGGAAGUCAUAGGGACUCAUGUCCUAUUUAUAUACAGUGGUGCAGUAAAAUAUCAUGCUUUAUAUAAAGUGACAAAAUCAAGGUUUGUGUUUUGGGGGCAGUGCAGUAUUUUCAUAAUGUGGAUGGUUGAAUCCAUCAGUGUAGAACCUUUGGCCAGAGAGGGCCACACGUUCUCCAGCACAAAAGCUCUACCACAGAAGCUGUCAACAGAUGCUCCACCAUAAAAGCUAUCAAUAGCUUGUGGUUAAGGAAGCAUACCCCCUGCCCCCAAUACAGAGAUAAGUAGCUUUUUUCUUAGAUUUUUUUAGAGCAGCAUUUCUCCAAAGCUUAACUAUGCCACUUUGUAUUCAUUUCUAGAACAGCCUCAUAGAAUCAUAGGGUUAAAAGAAACCCAGUCGAACCCCCUGCCAUCCAGGAAUACACCAUCAAAGCAUUCCCAUCAGAUGGCCAUACAGCUUCUAUUUAAAAACAGAGAAAGAGGUUUUAAAACAUAACUACCUAAUCGCACUUGCCCACUAAUAGGCAUGUGGUUCUUCUUUCUGGUUCCCCCACCCCCAAAUCUGCUAAAAGCAAUGGCCCUUAUUGGCCAAAUGUAACUAUGUAGUCCCUUAAGUAUGGCUUCCACAAUGAGAGAAAUAUGUAAAUACAAAGAGGCAAAUGGUAGGGGAGAUGUGAAGAUGCUGAACCCCAACCCCAUCGAUCUCACUUCUACCUGGGGGAUGGAGUACAUGAACAACCCCACACAAACAGAAAUAAAGAAAGAAUAAAUAAAAAUCCAAGUCAUUUUUAAUGCUCAGAUGAAAACUCGGUUACUUUGUUCCUUAAAGUUAUAGUCCUUGGGCAAUUAAAAGUUCUGACACCGCUCUAGGAGAAAGUGAGUCUUGUAGUCCAUAAGAAAGUUAGAAUUGGGGCUCAGGUAUAUUUUUAGCCCUUUGGUCAUGGCGGGGAUCUAUGUUGUGAGAUUCCUAUUGGUCAAUGCUAGGAUUGUAGUAAUCAUUUGAGCAUGGGUCCCUCACUCUCAGAUUCAGUCUUCUCCAUUUGGAAAGGACUAACUGUAGCUAGAUCAAUAUCCCAUUUCCAGUACUGGUCAUCCAGAUGCUUCCUGGAAGGUAGCAAACAUUUGCCUCUUCUGUUCUCAUUUCUUUUAUGCUAGAAACUGGUAUUCAGUGCUGUGUGGAUUAUUUGCAUAGAGUUCACAGUUUGUUUCAUGCUAUUUAGUAGUAUGGAAAAUAUACCUUCUUGGAGUAUGACUUUCCAGAUUUCUGAGCUAGUACAGGCACUAGACCAUAUAGUACAGUGGCUCCCAAACUUAUUUAGCCUGCCUCCCCCUUUCCAGAAAAAAUAUGACUCAGUGCCUCCUGGAAAGGGGGGCAUGGCUUAGAAGGGUGGGCAUGGCUCCUGUUCAAGCGGGCAGGGCUGAGCCUCUCCCCUAGUCCAAGAUGCAGCGCUGCAAGGGGAGGUGAGCGGGGCCACAAAUGGGCAGCCAGGACUGGGAUGGGCGGAGUUACGAGCUCUGAGUCAGGGCUGAGCUUCUAUCCCUCUCCUGCGGUGCCUGCCAGAACAGAGGAGGCGGGGCUAAAGGAGGGGAAGGGCCUCUUCCCAAGUGCCUGAUGGGGCUGAACCUCUAUACCCCACCCCUGUGUUCUAACAAGUGCCUCAGGGGAUGUAUCAGCCCUGUCUCGUGGUCUUGGGAAGAGGCCCUGCCCCCAACCCCUAGCCCCGUCCUUUAGUCCUAAAAGGCCUCUCAGGAGAGGUAUAGAGGCUCAGCCCUGUCUCGGGCUCUUGGAAGGAGGCUCCACCUCGCCCCCUUCCCUAGUUUUGCCCUCUGUCUCCCAACAAGCGCCUCAGGAGAGGUAUAGAUUCUCAGCCCUGUCUCGGGCUCUUGGGAAGAAGCCAUGCCCACUCCUCUAGCUCCACCCCCUUUGUGUCCUAACAGGCGCCUCAGGUGCUCAGCCCUGUCUCCGGCACUUGGGAAGAGGCCCCGCCCCUUCUCUCCUCUGGCCCCACUCCCGUGUCCUAAUAGGUGCCAUCACCGCCCCCUGGGUCGCUCCAGCACCCACCAGGGGGCGGUAGCACCCACUUUGGGAAUCACUGAUAUAGAAUGAUAGUUCAGCCAGCCAUACUUCUGUUUAAUCCCCUCUUUUAAUCUUCAAAGCCCAGAAGCCAUCACAAUAUCUUAUCUCAAAAUUCCAUUAUAACAAAUAAAUGAAAUGGUAGAGCUAGGAAUGCAAAGAAAGCUCAAAAAUAGAUCAUCCCUCUUGCCAAAUGGGCCCACUAUGACAGAUGAGUCACUUGACUCCAUAACACUAAUAAAUAGAUUCUAGAACCUUUCAAGUCUAAACACUCUCAAAAUAGCCAGACUGAGACUUUUGCACUUUGACCAUAUUAUGAGAAAACAUGACUCAGUUAAAAAAUCAACAAUGUUUGUUAAGGUAGGAGAUGGUAGGAAAAGAGCAAUACCAUGUUCCAUACCCAUGGCCCUGAGUAUGCAAGAGAUGAACAUGACUAUUGAUGAUAGGAUGACUUGGAGGUCUCUCAGUCCAGAUGCCAUGGGCUGCAAUUUCCAUCAUUCAUCACAAUUGGCUCUCCUGGUUGAAGCUGUUGACAGCUAUAAUCUAACAAUUCCCAGCCAUAAUCUACGUGCUUCUCUCUUCCCUAGUCAUGAAGAUCCAUUAUUAGGUAGCACUUACAGCAAUGCUCAGCGGCUUUUGGAGUUGGUGGUCAGCUGCUGAUUAAAUCAUCUAUGUAGUAAACUAUGUGGUAAACGCUUUACACAUUUAAACCCUAAGUCGCCUGAAGACUGCUAUUUGUUACUACUAAUACAGUGCCAUUAAUGUACAAUGCAUUUAUAUUCAUGUUGUAUAAGGUUGCAUUAACGACUGUCAGAAACUAUCUAUGAUACAAUGCACUAAAAUGGCACCAGAAGCAUUAUAAAUUAUACCAAGUAUGUUUGCUGUAAUGUUUCCAUAGAUAAUAUCUUAGUCAUAAAAACAAUACUCUCUGUAUUACCAAGGACAAGCUGUAAUUGAGGACAGAUUGUUAUGGACAUAGACAUUAUUCUGAUGCCUGUCUGGGGGAAAGAAUUAGCAUUUGAAAAGACUACAGUCUUGAUCAAUCAGCUAAAAUGUGGAAUAGACCAUUUUUAGAAGGGUCAGAUUGUUGCAUGUGGACUCUUUGCCACACCUAAACUUCACAUAUUAUCUUUUCUGUGCAGUACAUAUACAUGUAGUUACUGAAUGCACAUAAGCUCUCUAGAGAAACUCAGUGAACCUGCAAUUUCCACAGAUCUGAUUUCACAUGGAUAGCUUACCUGUACACAAUUUGUACACGCAUGGGCUUUGUGUAGGAUAGCUGAGUUACCAUGUAAACAUAAAGCAAAGCCAGUGUGCUACUGUCAGGCAGAUGCUUCAGUUGGCACUUACUGGGAAACAGCAGCAGUAGCCCACAAGCUAUUGGCAAAUAGAGAUAAAUAUGUGACAUGGCUUGUCCUUCAGCCCAUAAACCAAGGGUGGGACCCCCUGCAGAUAUCCAGUGUUGUUCUAAACUAGCUGAUUGUCAUCAGAUACAGUUUGGGUUGCCAUUCAGCAACACAUUAUUCCAUGAAACCCAGAGCUAAGGACCGGGCAAAGGAGGGAGAACAAAAAGUGGCAAAAUUAUGCCUGGGGCCACUGAAUGAAAAUAGGCCAAGAAUAUAUGUAAAAUCCAGUUAACUGCAAGGCAGGAAGAAAAUGAAAUAUUUUUUUACAUUAGCUGAGCAGAUGACACAAAACAACAAGUAGCUGUUUUGUUACAUUCACUGCUAGGGCUCAUUUCUCACAUGGCUCUACUACUGCAUACAUGGCAUGUGGCACGUUUGUCCAGAACCUACAGCUAAGGCUUGGGGAAGCCUUGUUGUUUAUAGCCUUUAGGGCAGUGGUUCUCAACCUGUGUGUGCCCAGAUGUUUUGUCCUUCAACUCCCAGAAAUCCUAACAGCUGGUAAACUGUCUGGGAUUUCUUGGAGUUGUAGGCCAAAGCAUCUGAGGACCUACAGGUUGAGAACCACUGCUUUAGGAAUAUUUUUCCUACGGGCCCACUAUUGCUACUGCCAGAGUUUCUAAAAUAAGUAUGGCAAUAACUCCUAAUGCUGGCAGCCUACCAAAGGGCACAAGGAGCUCAUACAUGUGCUCAGUCUUUGUAUUCUAAUUUUCACCUUUUUCUUUUGCAAAUUAUGUUGUGCACAUGAGAUGCACUUUGUUUUGACUCCGAGAACCCAGCACUAUCUGGGAACUAGUGAAGAUGAGUGCCCGGGGUUGAAAGCACAGAAACUAAAAUAAAAAUCUCUCCUGUCACAUGUCUUUCUCAGUGUGGCAACCCAGAGAAAUAUACCAUUUCCCAGAAAUAUUGGCAAGCACCUUAAGAUGUUCCAGUGAAAAUCAGUGUCCGACUGUGAGUUUUGAACAAAACUCCAUGACCAAUUUGAUUUAUUUGUAGAAAAGAACACUAUCUUCUCCUUUGCCUCAGAUCAAAAGAAAAAUCUUUGUCCCCUAUCAUGAAGCAUGUUAAGUGUCUUGCCACUAGGUAGCAGUCAGAGAAAUAACCAAUGAACAAGACAAAGAGGAAUAAACCAGAUUGCUAAAGUAGCCAAAGGACUCUAGGAAUCAGGAAUUCAGAAGCACUGAAAACAGAAUAGCCAGGAAUGGAAGAUACUGAAUCUAAGAAUUCCAAGUUUCAGACAUGGUUAUACUCAAUUGGCUGUGAUAAUGCCCCUGAUGCUGGUUAGGAUUCUUCCAUUUCAAGAUCUGCUUGAGGUUUGUAUUUUGUUUUGUUUUUGUUUUUUUUUCAAAUGUCUUUUUUGCUGGUGUCUCUUCAGAAGCUGGAGAAGCCCAAUGUUUCAAUUCCCCUCCUGAAUGGGAACUGGAUUUCUGUUGGAAGGCCCAGGCUUUGCCUCACCUUCCUGCUCUGAUUCCUCAUGCUGGGGCCCAUCCACCUGGAUAUCCUUCUUGGUAAGGCAUGGCAGGUUCCCACAUAUUAUUAUUAUUUAUUAAUUUAUAUCCCACUUUUCUUCCCCAUCAGGGAUUCAAAGCAGCUAACAACAAGGUAUAAAACAUACAAGGUGCAUUUGGAUAAAAGGAGUAUGCAUAAUUUAAAAAUAACAAUUGAAACAUAAUAAAGCCGUUAGACCAUCAUAGAACACAUUGCAGAUUAAAAUACAUUCAACACUUUAUAUAUAGUUAAAACUAAAUAAACAUAAUCUGAAACCAUUAUCUGUCCACAUAAUUUAGCCCCUGAUCCAACAUAUUUCCCAAGUGCAUGAGGAGCCUGUACAUUUGGUGUGAGCACACAGACCUUGAGGCUAGACAUACUCUCAUCCUCUUCUGCUCAUUCAGUGUUGAAUAAUUAAUUUAAUAAUAAAAGAUUAUAUUCACAUUUGUAGAGACUGGGGAACAUUGUAAUCAGGUGAUUUGUUUGUCUGCUUAGUCUUCAGUCUGGAUGUUAAGGACCUCAUCACAUGGAGGUCCGGAAACCCGGGAGCAGUGGGGGAUAGCAGGGGAAACCAUGAGGUAGCACCCAGCUUCGCCCCCUUACUGUUGUUGGUCGUGGGCUGCCAUUCCACAGCGUGUCCUUGCUGUCCCCAGCUUCAUCCCAUGUUGUCCCCAGCUUCUUUAGUGAUGAUACAGGUAGUCGCUAUAUCCUCGGGGCUCCCUCUUAGUGCACUGCUGACAUGCUGCCAGGAAGUAGUCCUGCAUCAGUGCACUAAUAUGAGGAAAAAGCCCCUCUGAUGAGGUCACAAGAGUCAGUGGGAAGUUUCAAAGCCUCUACUCUCCUACUGUCAUUCAGUUUUGUAUCUGUAGGUUUAGAGAAGACAGUCACUCAAACAAAGAAUACUUUCAAACUAUUUUCUGAUCAUCUAAAGAGUACAUCUAGUGUGCAGAAUUAAUGCAAUUUGAAGACACUUUAACUAUCACGGCUCAAUGCUAUGGAAUCAUGGCUUUCUUUAGCCUUCUCAACCAAAGAGUGUUGGUGCUUCACCACAUUACAAACACUAGGAUUCUAUAGCAUUGAGACAUGGCAGUUAAUGUGAUGUCAAACUGUGCAUUAAUUCAACAGUAGAUCAUACAUGUAAAAUGCAAGGCCUGAGGGAAGAAUCCAUCCCACCAUGUCAUUUUCUGCUACUUACAAGACUGUGCCAGGGCAACAUCACUACAUUUAUACAGUCUUACAGCUGUAAACAGCUGAGUCCCUUCGGGUGAGAAGGGCGGGAUAUAAAUGUUGUAAAUAAACAACCCUUUGACUGUUUUUAUUGAUAUAAUACUGUUUUGUCCCAGUGUAAACUUGCCCUGAGUCCUUCGGGAGAUGGAGCGGGGUAUAAAUAUAUUAUUAUUAUUAUUAUUAUUAUUAUUAUUAUUAUUAUUAUUAUUAUUUAACCAUAAUGACAAUGUGGCCCUCAGUAAAAAUGAAUUUGACACCCCUGGUAUAGAUGCAUCCUUAGGCAGAGUAUUCUUGGUAAAGAGGAUCCCAUGUACAUCCCAAAACCAUAACUGUACCACAAUGAUUUAUUGAACUAUACAAAUGUUGAGUAGCUUGUGGGGAUUAAAGUUCAGAACAGUAAAAUUGUUUUCAAUACACCUGUAUCUCAUUUUCUACAAUGCAUCCAUUCUUUCCUUUUCUUUCAUAUCUUUUUUUUUCUUGAAGAAAGAGGAAGCUCUCUCUGGCACAAAGAUAUUGAUUAAAUCACAGGCUUUGCUCAGAAAACAAGAAUGAUAAAAUAAGAUCAAAGAGACCAUCACUGGACUUGCAACUGUGAUACAGAUACCUGGAGGUCACAAAAAGUUACCAUAUGUGUUUUGACCACCAAAACUACAUUUGGGUCUUGAAAACCUAUACCUUGCAGCUGAAUAUUAUACCUUUGAUUCCUCUUUAGAUUUUAAACUCUGAAAUUUGAAGCUUUUUCCUGAUUGAUAAGGAAGUGUAAGAAACAUUACUUUUUGGGCUACAGCUUCCAGAAUUCUUCAGCCAGCCUGGCCAAAAUAUAACUUUCCGAUAAUCUAUGAGUAAAUACACUGAAAGUGAAAAUAAUCUCUGCGUAUGUGAAUUAAUAUUCAUUUUAGAUAAUAAGGUACUUGUGUAGGUGUUUCACAGUAAGCCAUUAUCAAUGUAAAUUUAGGAAUCUCCUUUUAGGAAGCCUGAGCAAAGCUUUGGAAUAUAUUCAUGUGGGUUGUGAGAUGCAUGAUUCUCACCCCUGUGAUAGAUGAUGAGGGACAGGGACUAUCCCUCAAAAAAAUGACAUAAUAUAUACCUUUCAAACAAGAAGUUUUGCUCCUGAGGAACCAAUGAGAAGAUACAGAGGCAAUCAGACUAAAAUACAUGGGAGCUAACUUAAUUUCACAUAUCGAUUUGAAAUAAUGACGGAAUUCUGGUGGUAAACCCAGUUAAAGAAUCACUAUUAGUGUCACAAUUUCCUGGAAAUUUACCUUCUUAAAGUGAACAAACAGAAAGAUGCAGUGUCAAAUUUGCAUUCUUUUAUGUAUCUAUUUCUGCCUACAUCUUACAACGUGGUAAAGAAAGAUGUUGUAAAUAAGACACCUUGAAGCUUGAAAUUAAAAUAUUACUUAUUAACAUCAACCAUAGUGACAUUCGCAUCACACACAGGAAGUUUAGAUAAUGAAGAUAAUAUUAAAAUAAAAAUUAUUAAUAGUAUUAAACAUAAUCCUAAAUGAACCUAGUAUGCUGCUAUCAGUUUAUUGCUGUUCAGCUCUAUUUUUGUCAGCAAAAUUAAAAUGCUAAAUACUUAUAGCACUUGCAGUAUUGUUAACUGCCUGUCAUACAAUUCAGAAAUAAUAAAAUUAGAUUCCAUACAUAUCUUUUAUUUUUAGUAUCAUCUUGUAAACAAGGUAUUACAUGCACAUAUUCCUUCUGAUGCAUGUUGGACUUCACAACAAUGAGUGGCACACUUACCUACCAACACUUGCGUCUUAAGACCUAUUGGUGGACUUCACCAUUGCUCGGUUAUAACUUCCAAUUUUUUGUUCAUUUAGAAAGUUAAGUGAUCACUAUUCCUUUAACUCUAUGUUACACAACAGAUGAAACUUUUUUUCUGAUUUUCUUCUCUUUCUUCUUUCUUUCUUCAUGUUUUCUCUGCCCCCUAAUUUUUAUUCAAUUGUAACUCAAGCUACUACCUGCCCCUAGAUCAUUCUAGAGCCCCCCAGGGGGCAAUGCCCCCCACUUUGGGAGAAACUUUUCUAAUUGGUUGCUGCCACACAACCAAUAUGUAUGUUUGAGAGCCAGUGCCAUGUAAAACAUUGGACUUGGGUUCACAUCUGUAUUGAAGUUCUAUAGCGAUACUAGCUGUGCCCGGCCACGUGUUGCUGUGGCGAAGUAUGGUGGUAUGAGAAAUAAAGUAUUGAGGAAUUGGUGGUAGUUAAGGUAAAGGUUUUCUCCUGACAUAGUCGUGUCUGACUCUGGGGGUUGUUGCUCAUCUCCAUUUCUAAGCCGAAGAGCCGGCAUUGUCCGUAGACUCCUCCAAGGUCAUGUGGCCGGCAUGACUGCAUGGAGCGCCAUUACCUUCUCACUGGAGCAAUACCUAUUCAUCUACUCUCAUUUGCAUGUUUUUGAACUUCUGGGUUGGCAGAAGCUGGGGCUAACAGUGGGGGCUCUCUCCGCACCCCCAAUUCAAACCUGUGGCCUUUCAGUCCAGAAAUUCAGUAGCUCAGCGCUUUAACAUGCUGCGCAAUCAGGAUAUUAUUUCCUAAAGGUUGUGAAUAUACAAUAUUUCUGAUUUUUUUUUUGUCUGAUGGAGGCAAGUAUGAAUGCUGCAAUUAGGGAAAAUGAUUAGCAUGUAAUGGCCUUGCAGCUUUAAAGCCUAGCUGUUUCCUCCCUGAGUGAAUUUUUUGUUGGGAGGUGUUAGCUGGCCCUGAUUGUUUCCUGUGUGGAAUCCCCCUGUUUUCAAAGUGUUGUUCUUUAUUUAGUGUUCUGAUUUUAGAGAUUGUAUUGUUCUGUUUUAUUAUACCACAGUAAUUUUAUAUAUAUUCAGAUUUUAGUGUUUUUGAAUACUUGGAGCCAGAUUGUAUUCAUUUUCACAGUUCACAGCAACACAAUAAUAAUAAUAAUAAUAAUAAUAAUAAUAAUAAUAAUAAUAAUAAUAAUAGUACAGUAGAGUCUCACUUAUCCAAGCUAAACGGGCCGGCAGAAGCUUGGAUAAGCGAAUAUCUUGGAUAAUAAGGAGGGAUUAAGGAAAAGGCUAUUAAACAUCAAAUUAUGUUAUGAUUUUACAAAUUAAGCACCAAAACAUCAUGUUAUACAACAAAUUUGACAGAAAAAGUAGUUCAAUGCGCAGGAAUGUUAUGUUGAAAUUACUGUAUUUACAAAUUUAGCACCAAAAUAUCACGAUAUAUUGAAAACAUUGACUACAAAAAUGGCUUGGAUAAUCCAGAAGCUUGGAUAAGCGAGGCUUGGAUAAGUGAGACUCUACUGUAAUAAUGACUUUGGUAAUACACACUGGUUCACUCCCUUCUCAGCUUCUUUUCUGGAAGAAUCGUUUCUUGGGAGAUGUUAGCUGGCCCUGAUUGUUUCCUUUGUGGAAUUUCCAAUUUCCUGCUUUCAGAGUGUUGCUCUUUAUUUACUGUCCUGGUUUUAGAGAUUAUAUUGUUCUGUAUUAUUCUAUCACAGUAAUUAUUUCAUAUUACAGUAGAAUCUCACUUAUCCAACAUUCGCUUAUCCAAUGUUCUGGAUUAUCCAACGCAGUCUGCCUUUUAGUAGUCAAUGUUUUGUAGUCAGUGUUUUAAAUUCAUUGUGAUAUUUGGUGGUAAAUUUGUAAAUACAGUAGUUACUACAUAGCAUUACUGUGCAUGUAACUACUUUUUCUGUCAAAUUUGUUGUAUAACAUGAUGUUUUGGUGCUUAAUUUGUAUAAUGAUGACCUAAUUUGAUGUUUAAUUGGCUUUUCCUGAAUCUCUUCUUAUUAUCCAACAUAUUCACUUAUCCAACGUUCUGCUGGCCUGUUUAUGUUGGAUAAGUGAGACUCUACUGUAUAUUUAAAAUCUUAUAUUAUCUGCUUAGAACUGGAUUAUAUGAGGCCCCUUCUACACAGCUGUAUACAAUGCACACUGGAGUGGAUUAUAUGGCAGUGUGGAGUCAAGAUAAUCCAGUUCAAAGCAGAUAAUAUAAGAUUCUAAAUGGGUUAUAUAGCUGUGUGGAAGGGCCUUGAGUCUACACUGCCAUAUAAUCUAGUUAAAAUCUGAUAAUCUGUGGAAAAGGCCUAAGUGAGGCCUAAGUGUGCCUGUCCCCUGGGCUGAGUAGGUUGCUAGGAGACCAAGUGGGCAGAGCUUAGCUUUCAAACUGGCAACAAUUGGAUAAAAACUAUUAUUCCUCUCCCUGUAAUUAAGACUUUAUUUUUCUUUUCUUUUUGUUGUAUCAACCUAGAGCCGUGAUGGGUUGUGUUGUCAAAUUUCGAGGUUGGGGGGCCUGUAGUUUUGUUGUUUUGUCCGCUGCCCUGAUGCCAUCACUCUUUUAUAUAUAGAGAUGGAGCCAAUCAGAAUCUCUGAAGCAUUUCAUAACUUAAUCUUACAUAUGGUUUUUUUUCACUCCUCACUUUUAACCCUCAUCCCCAAUGCCUCUUGAAAGGGUAUAAAUAUAAUGUGUAGUUAGUUGGAAGAAGCUUGGUCUACAGCAGGGGUGGGAGUUCCUUUUGAGCCAAUGUAGCAGACUUUUGGAAGUUGCAGCCCAACAUUUGGAAAUCUGCAUGAGCCCCACACCUGCCCCUUCUUAGCAUUAGGGCUUCCAAUAAGAAGGUAUGAAAAUAAAUAAUUUCACCAUCCCACCCAACGUGUCUCAUAUACUUUCCCAGUUCUCUUCCAGGUCCCAAAUUUAUAUAGUAGUACAGUGAUCCCUCUUGAGUCUAUUCUAGAGCAUUGGAAAUUUACUUUGUCAACUAGCACUCCCAAACCUACCCAGCCAGGAUAGCCAGUGACCAUGCUGAUUUGGGGGUUGUAGUUCAAAAUAUAAUAUUUCCAAAUUGAUUUGUUCCUGCUGUAGUGGUGAGAUAGUAAAGGUAAAGGUUUCCCCUUGACACUGAGUCUAGUCAUGUCCGACUCGGGGUGGUGCUAAUCUCCAUUUCUAAGUCAAAGAGCUGGUGUUGUCUGUAGACGCCUCCUAGAUUAUGUGACCAGCAUGACUGCAUGGAGCACUGUUACCUUCCCGCUGAAGUGGUACCUAUUGAUCUACUCACAUUUGCAUGUUUUCGAACUGCUAGGUUGGCAGAAGCUGGGGCUAACAACAGGAACUCACCCCGUCUUGUGGAUCUGAACCACCAACCUUCCAGUCAGCAAAUUCUGCAGCUUAGCUGUUUAACCCAUGUGACACCAUGACCCCUAGUGGUGAGAUAGGAGAGGACAAAAAAAAAACCAAAAAGGGGGGCAUGUGAUUUCAACAUGGAACCAUAUUGGGGAUCACCCUUCUCUCUCUCUCUCUCUCUCUCUCUCCCUCUCCCUCUCUCUCUCUCAUUUGCUUAUUUGCCAUAUCCUUCCCUCUUCCUUCCUUUCUCUUGCUAUGCUAUGACCAACCCAUUUGAUUCUAUUGUGCACAGAAUUAGUUGAACUCAUGCCUGGUCCUCAGGAGGCACUGAUGAGAUUGAAAGGUCUGACACACUGGGAGGUAAAAAGGGCAUAUCUAUAAAUCUUUCAGUAGUACUUGAAAGAGUAGCUAAAAAGAGUAGCCAAUCCUUCUUUUUUUAUCUUUCCUUGUCAAAAUAUUGAACAUAUCACUGAACAUAUACUUUAGUAUGUCCUAGGAGUAUAGAAACAUGACAGUUUAAAAGAGCAUGGUUGAAUGCCAAGAAUGAUUUGUUGCCCUUAUGAUUAAUUUGUGUCUUGGUGUCUGUGUGUGCAUGUGUAAUUUAGUAUGAUUUAGUGGUCAGUUUUUAAAAGAAAAGUCAUUGCUCAUUUGUUUACAUUCAUUAAUCUUACUUAAGUUGAAAUCUGUCCUGAGUCAUUUGUGGGUCUGCUCUGAUACUAUAAAACAUGACUUAUUUAAUCCUUGCUUGAGCCCUCUGCAUUCAUCUGCAUUUCUUGACUCCCUGGUGUCACUGAAAUAAUGUACCAUGUGGAGCAGUUUAAUUUGUAAACAUCAAGGAAUCUGUGGCAAGUGUUGCAUAUGGAGCCAACAACUUUAGUAAUUGGGAAGAAAUGCCACUGAGAACACAGCAGAAAGUAGAUACAACUAGUGGAUCUUUCUCUACAGGAAGUAUUUUGCUAGGGCAUCCUCCAGCAUUUCCUAGAUGAGAACUGAGAACUCAGUUUGCAUAUAUAUACUACAGAAGUAUUACAGUUUGACAUCACAUAAACUAUCAUGGUUUCGUGCUAUAGGAUUUUGGAAUUUGUAGUUUUGUGAGAUAUUCACUCUUCUCUGUCAGAGAGUUCUGGUGCCACAACAAUCUGCAAAUACCAAGAUUCAAUAGGAUGGAGCCAUAGUGGGAAACUGCUAUUAUUCUACAGUGUAGAUCAGGCAUGGGCAAACUUUGGCCUUCCAGGUGUUUUGGACUUCAGCUCCCACAACUCAAACAAUUCCUAACAGCUGGUAUCUCAGUUUGCACCAAUAGGGGUAAUCUGAGGAGGAAUGGUGAAAAGAAGAAGUAGGUGAGAGAAAUUGAAAACAGCUGAAACAAUGAGACAGUUGAGGAUUAAACUGGACUAUCCCUGGAAGGUAAGUUAGGUCCUUCUUGAAGUGGUAAUUACAAAAAUAUACAAUAAAUGUGUUUGCUAUGUAAGGCUUUGUUGGUCUAAAGAAGGCACGCACCUGCCUGAACAUAUGCCACUCCUGUUCAAAGUAGACUUUUCGACACAGAUUCAUGUUCCCUUUGCGCAAUUACCAAGUAACUCCCAUACUCCCGUUGUCCUUUCUUACUACUGCAUGUUGAGAUAAAAAGACAUAUGUUCAGGCCUAUAGCAUUAUCUUUUGACCUAGAGUGGAAAGAAAGAAGAAUGGCUCUUUGCUAACAGGUUCAGAUCUAUGUAACCUCCCAUGUUCUGCCUCUGAAGACUCUCGCAUAACAAUUAUCAAACUGCAGCCUCAAGACUAACUCCACCUACCCAUAGGAUCAUAGGAAGCUGCCUUAUACAAAAUCAGUCCUCAGUCCACAUAGCCAAGUAAUAUCAUCUUUGACAAUGAUCCUUAUCUUUGGAGUUUCCAUACAAGAUUUUCCCUAAAGUUCUAUAGUAUGACUUGAAGUCGCCUACCCAAGUGAAAAGUCAGACCAAACCUCAAUUAACUUAAAAAAUCAGAUGAGCUUGGGUAUGUUCAAGAUUAUUCAUAUUGGGCAUGCACACUAUCAGGGUGAGAAGGAAUAUAAUUUUUUUUUCCUUUUGAUGCUGGCCCUUGCUCCUCCAGAAAAAAAUAUGCCUUGGUUUUUCUGAGUGUCAUGCACAAGAAUAAUUCUUUAGAUUUAGCAAUCCUUCACCUCAUUGAAAUCUCCAGCGGUGCAGAAGUUACUUAGUGCCCAGUGUCUUCUGGAAUCCUAAUUAGGAUCAAGAAUUGAUCCAGCAUGUAUGCAACAGUUUCAGAACCUUUCACCAAUCCACUAAUUUUUUGGAAUUUUUUUUUUUUUACCAUAACAUUUUUUAAUUUAAAAAACUGCAAGAGGGGUUCUGGGAACUGAAGUCCCAAGUGGAAUGGAAACAGUCAACCAGGCCUCUGAUUGGCUUAGAAAGAAAGUUAAAAACACACAGAGAGAAAAAUCACAACUCUCAUCAUGCUCCGAGAGGGAGCACGGGGCUCCUCAAUGCUUGCACCACACAAAGCGAGUUCCCAUUUGCCGCAACCGGGGAGGGGCUUCAGGAAGGGAUGGAGGAGUCUGCCGAGGAAGAAAGUAAAGGAGAAGGAGCAGCUUUCCUGAUUUGCAAGGCUGCUCUACCCACACGCCACCACCUCGAGUAGAGUGCCACUCAGCCUCAUUGAUCCCCAAUUAGCAAAAAAGAUCCAGUUGCUGUGAUCUGUACCGGCUAAUGCUUCAGCUGCCCCACUCCAGGCUUGAUUUCAUGGAUUUGGCAACUGAAUCCACCGAGCCACCCGAAUCCGGUACACAAAAACAAAAUCAUGCACACCCCUAUUAAAAACUGCACAGACCUUGAGCGGGACAUGUUAUGUCAAUGGCAGUCAGCUGAGAUACUGAAGUUCUGAUAGAAUACAUAAGAUUUGAAUGGAUUUAUACAAUUUUAUUGAAUAGUUACAAUGAAUUUUGAUUGACAAGUUGAAAUGAGAAACGAUAGCUGGCUGUUCAAAAGCCCAGCUUUCUUUCCUAUUUCUAUUCAUGUCUUACCUAUAUUUUUGAUAUCCAUGAAUUAGACAAUAGGGUUUUCACAAGCUUUCUUCCUUCACCUUAUGCUUUUUUCAUAUGGGAUGAGAUAGAUACAAUUUUUCCCUAUACAAAACAAAGAAGCCAUUCUGUUAGUGACAUGAGACUAGAAGAUGUUUUCCCCCUCAUUAAGAGAAACUGUUUAUGCUCUUAAGGGCUCAGAAAAUCUCAAUUAUGCUUAAUUUCCCCACUAAAGUGUGUGUUAGAGAGAGGGAAAAAAAUCUAAAGCUGUCCCCAAAGUUUGAUCAAACAAUGCACAUUCUUUGGGGGCAUUUAAAAAGUAUUUUUCAAAAAGCCUUAUCCAUUUCCCUAGAAAACCUAAUUGCACAACAUCAACACAAAUGUAUACAUUUUCUUUUUCAGUGUUAGCACCAGCCAAUAUGCAUGUCCUAGCAAAAUGGAAGAUAUAUUAUUUCUGACCAUAAUAAUAAUAAUAAUAAUAAUAAUAAUAAUAAUAAUAAUAAUAAUAAUAAUAAUAAAAACUUUAUUUAUACCCCGCCACCAUCUCCCCGCGGGGACUCGGGGCGGCUUACAUGGGGCAGAGGCCCAAACAACAUAGGACAAAACAUAGGCGACAUAAUACAAAUCACACAAUAAAUCAGUUAAAACAAAAAUACAGGAUAAAAAAUUGCAUUUAAAACACAUUUAAAAUGGUAAAAUCGUAAUAAAUACAGGAUAAUUAAAAACCCUCUGGGGCUGAUUAAUUAAUGACUGUAUCGCCAAAGGCCUGUCGAAACAUCCAAGUCUUCAGUUGUUUCCUGAAGAAAGGUAGAGAGGGAGCCAACCUAAUCUCCCUGGGGAGGGAGUUCCACAGUUGGGGAGCCACAGCCGAGAAGGCCCUCUCUCGUCCCCACCAAACGCAGUUGUGAGGCGGGUGGAAGUGAGAGAAGGGCCUCCCCGGAGGAUCUCAGCGAUCGGGUGGGUUCAUAGGGGACGACGCGGUCACGAAGAUAGGUCACCAUCAGCUCUUAGCUUUCCUCUUCCAACACAAGAUAACUAGAUGGAUUGAGACCCCUUUUUCUGAUCCUUGUUUCCCUUCCUUCAAUAAAAAAAUGUCCUUUAUCUUUCCUGUAGUCAAGUUUAGUCUAAAUUAAAAUUGGUUGUUAAUUAAAGGUGAAGAUUCAGAUGCCUUCUUUGCCAUUCCAUUCAACUGGUUUAACUGCGUACAGAUAUAAUAAUGUUUAAAACUGUUCCAACAUUACAGUGCUCUACAUAUCUCCUCUGACAUACGUGAGCAGGCACAGGAUUCAAUUUUAGAUUUCUAAGCCUGCAAACAUAACAAGUAUUUCAGAAUUCUUACUGUAAACUGUGAAUAAUAUUAUCUUUCUCUUUUGGUUUGAUAAAUAUUCUGUUUGAUACAUGGUCUCGCAGUCUGCCUUCAUUUUCCUUGUUUUGUGUGUUAUUUUCAAACUUAUAUUUGCUACCUUGGAGGGGCCCAUUGGGGUUGAAAAAUAGAAUAUUAAUAUUUGAAAUAUUUUAACUCAGUUGUAAAGGAUUGCCCCCUGUCUAACCUAACUUUGGUAGAAAGCGGAAUUGUACAAGACUGAAUACUGGCUAGACCCAGGAGACAGAUCGAUAUCUUUUGACCAAAAUGAGAAUGAAAAUAUAUAGGAGAGAAAAUAAUCUUACUUGUCAUCAAUGUUAAAAGGUGGAAGAAAUGCAGAAAUAGCUCUUAAUUGAUUGUCAAUACCACUCAGGAAAAAUCAAAUUGCUUUAAUAGCCGAGAGCAGGAUAGUCUCUGAAUGAAUUACAUUUCCCACACAAGCAUUAAAAAACCCAUGCAUUUAAGAGAAACUGGCAUUACUUUCAAUCUACCAUGCUUGACACAGAGUAAUCUUUAGGAUGUGCACUUUUGACAAACAUUUGAGGAGAUUUUCAACAGUUUAGAGCCAGAAACCACACAAAAUGUGCGUAUAAUUCAACCUGUACAUAGAUGAUGACAAAAUUUCCCAAAGCAAAAGAAAGCAAAAUAAAUCUUUGGCUGGUAGGUAAUUUUUAAGAAGUAUGACUAUAGUCAGCCAUAAAGUAAGUCAUAUUAGGAUGAUGUUGCAGGAGCCAGAGUAUUGUCCUACCAUUUCUCACUCUUUGGAUGGCGUUGGCAUCUAAUUUUGGCCAUUCUUCAUAAAAGUAGCCUCCAAAGCACUGAGUUAAAUCAGCCAAUAUUAGAGCAUCACAUCACAGGCAGAAAGGAGCAAACAAAAUAUGCUCUGAUGACUAUACAUACAUACUAUACAUACAGGCCCACAACCAGCAGGUGGUGAUAAACUGUUCUUUUAUCUCUGAUAUCUUUUGGUCUGCUAUGUGUGCUUUCAGUUCAGAGAAGUACACUUUGGAGCAGGAAGUGCCUUGCUGACAUACAGUGAUUUCUUUAUUUUAGAAAGCAUUUACAGUAGAGUGCUCCAAGUGUUCACAGGGAAGGGGUGGGAAUAAGGCAGGUUUCCACAAAAUUGCUGAACUGCAACUCCCAGAAUUUCUCAGAAUACUCUUUAUAGGUUAGUCCUCCUGAGGGCUACAAUCCAACAACAUUUGGAGGACUUCCCAUCUAAUUGCACCACAUGACAAAGAACGAAGACAACAGAUUUCCUCCAGAGAUGAGGGACCCAUUGGGACAGCUCAUCUAGCCUGGGCAUGUUGAGGUGAGGCCCCUCUCCUCAUCCAAAAGUCUCCUCCCUCCAAGAUGUUAGGGAGUAGCACAAUGUGUCACGUUCUUGAGAAACGACACUGAAAUUGAUCCCUCCUCUCCUUCCCCAUCCAAGAAGUCUGCUUUGCCCUUUCCUUUUAUUCUAAACAAAGAACUCCCUAUACGUAUCUUGUCAUGAUAGAAGGCAAGAUGGCAAAUUGUUGGCAGAUAAAUUUCGGAACACAGUGGUCCAUAAAUCGAGCCUCAGACAGGCGUUUGUCAGUCAAUGCCACUCAUUACCUUUUUCCCUAACAGGGUGAGAUGUGGUGAGUGAAGCCAUCUGGGCAGUCAGUUGACUUUGUUCCUUCCUUCACAUUUCUAAUCAGAUAAAGUUGAGGGAGGGGCAAAAUGGAUUCAGCUAGCACCUUGUGAGUCCAUUUUUCUCCUUUCUCAACUUCCAUGACUGGAAAAUGUGAGGAAGGAGCAAAGCCAGCCACCUGAGUGUCCAGAUAGUUUCAUAAUCCUGAUGUGAAAUUAUUGAAAAAUAAGAGUUGAUUGGCACUAACUGAAAAAAACCUGACUGAGGCUCCAUUUGUGUUCCCAAAUUAACAUGCCAAUAACCUGCCAUCUGGCCUUCUACCCUGACAAAUUAAGUACAGAGAAUCUUCUAGGGCUGGGUUGGGAAGAUGGGACUGCCAGUAUUUGAAGGCAAUGCUGUCAUCUUACCUUUAAGGGUCCAGCAAUAUAAUAUCAUAGAAUCAUCGAGUCAGAAGAGCCUCAUGGGCCAUCCAGUCCAACCCCCUGCCAAGAAGCAGGAAAAUUGCAUUCAAAGCACCCCCGACAGAUGGCCAUCCAGCCUCUGCUUAAAAGCCUCCAAAGAAGGAGCCUCCACCACACUCUGAGGCAGAAAGUUCCACAGCUGAACAGCCCUCACAGUGAGGAAGUUCUUCCUUAUGUUCAGGUGGAAUCUCUUUUCCUGUAGUUUGAAGCCGUUAUUCCGCAUUCAAGUCUCCAAGGCAGCAGAAAACAAGCUUGCUCCCUCCUCCCUAUGACUUCCCCUCACAUAUUUAUACAUGGUCAUCAUGUCUCCUCUCAGCCUUCUCUUCUGCAGGCUAAACAUGCCCAGUUCUUUAAGCCACUCCUCAAAGGCCUUGUUCUCCAGACCCUUGAUCAUUUUAGUCGACCUCCUCUGGAUACAUUCCAGCUUGUCGACAACUCCCUUCAAUUGUGGUGCCCAGAAUUGGACACAGUAUUCCAGGUGUGGUCUGACCAAGGCGGAAUAGAGAGGUAGCAGGACUUCUCUGGAUCUAGACACUAGACUCCUAUUUAUGCAGGCCAAAAUCCCAUUGGCUUUUUUAGCCACUGCAUCACAUUGCAUCACUCCCCCCCCCCCCCCCGUUAUCUGCUCUCAGACUGCCUCCCUCCCUUCCAGUCCUCCCACCUGCUCCAUCCUGUAGCCCACACCAAAAAAGGUGCCCAUGAUUGCUCUAUCCUGUAUGGUAUGAAUGCUGUAUCCUAGCACCAUUAACAUAUUCCCCUUGUUGGCAUGCAUCUCCCUUCAUACAAAAAUUUUCAGCUAUUGAUUGUAGCAGAGGAUUGUCUUAAGUAAGCUAGCAUUUCCUUCGUGCAAAGUGGCAGCGAGACAGUUCCUUGCUUUCAUCCUACCCCUGAAAGGACUGCCAUCACUGGUGACCCCUCCCCCCCCCUAUUGUCCUAUUUAUUAUCCUGACCCCAAGAUGCUAACCCAAUACUUGGGAAAUCUGUUUAGAUUCUGCUGGUCAAUCCUCAGACUUACAAUGUGGCAAUUCAUUGUGCUGCAAAUGAGUCCCAGUAUAAAGAGGUGACCUAUGGGAUAAGCAGUCCUCCCUCUCUCUCUAUCCAGGAAUGCUGACAGCUUAUACUUUCAUUCAUACAACUAGGCUGUUCAAUGGUCAGUCACUAGAGGCCUGCACCCUGCAAGGCAACUAUGAAUGAGAUGGGAUAUGAAGGAUAUUUGUGCACCUAAAAAGAGAGGCAAUGUAUAAAGCAAUUGAAAAUCAAAAAUCAUGAAUAAUGGUUAAUGAGUCCCAAAAGCUGCACUGGGUACAAUAGGCUGAUUCUACCAUGAAUAAAACAAAUGUAGUAAAUACUGAAAAAGAUACCUUGAAGUUACUGGUGAGGGAUCUGCAGGGUUAUUUUGCAAAAAGUCCAUUUCUAUAAACCCGGUGGCUUUUUAAGCUGCUCCUUACAUUUGAAGGAGGCUUUGGUCUUUUUUCAUCACUCAGCAGCUAGCCAAUUUUGAAAGCACUUUACAGUUGGAAAGAAUCUGAGGGAUUUACAUGCUUGAACACAUUCUAUUAAUUCUAAUGUAUUCCUGAAUUUGUAAAAGCUGGCGGGGGAUGGAGAAGGGGAGAGGGAGCCACAUCAAGAGAAAGUGGCAUCAUAAUAGGUGACUCCAUAUGGUGCACGAAAUGUUUUUUCCUGUCCUAAUUUGAUUAAUGAAAUGCAGUUGAAUCGCAGCAGGAUUUCCUUGACAGUUGUUGAUUGCACAGAAAACUGUUUUUUGCUGUCAUUCAUAUUUAAAUUGUAUUGUGCCUCUGUGAUACUAACCCUGUACCAGGAUAUGCAUAGGGUACCUAAUUUAAUUCACACUUAAAAGGAGCCUUUCAAAAAGUAUCAGCGGAUACAAGCACCGUUCUUGGCAACUCCUGUAUCAUGCAAGUUGAGGAAGAGAAAAAUAUCAGAAUUAUCAGAUGAGUAAUUCGAUUCCCCAGAUCAUUUAGAAAAAGAAGAAGAAGCUUUCAGCAGGCACAGCAAGCGCGGACCAAUUGCCCAUUGGACAAGAAAACAAAAUAGUGUUUUAAUGGGGGUGUGAAACAACUGGGAACCAUUGGAAUGGUGUAGAGAUGAAGAUGUAAAUUAUGAUAUAUUCCACAAGCCAGCUGCAUGAUGCUGCUGGGUUUGUCAUGCUUUAUUUAGUUAGUGUAUUUAUGAACUAGUUCUAAGGGAACAGGAGCACCAUUCGAAGCACAAUAACAAAGCAACUGAAAAACAGGAUAAUAUAAAACCACAGGAAGAAUAUACCCAGACAAAAUACAAAAUUGAAACAAUCCUCAUGAGCUAAAACCAAUCCCAGAAGCUUAAGUAAUAAAUUUAAAAUACUGUACAUAUUUAAAAUGGGAAUGCAAAAACAAUUUAAAAAGUCUUGAUCAGACCCUUAAAAAUAACUAUGUGGGAACCAUGCAACUUUUUCUGGGGAGACCUUUCUGAAGUUGUAUACCAACUUGAAUCUGAUUCUAGGAGAAACAUGUUGUAUAUAAUAUAAAUUAAUUAAAUAAGAUGACAGGCCACCUCUGAGAGAGCCAUUGAUAAAAAUUAGACUAUGGAAACAUAACAACCUUUAAGCAGAAGAACCCAGAUGGGUCGUAAUAUCUUAGCUGGGCCUAUUCAUAAUGAUGACUGAAAGCCACUAAUUUAUAUAUCCCCAAAUGCCUAAAACAGGAAGUAGGCACAAAAAGAGAUUUUUCAAACAGAACAUAUUUUCUGUCCUCACGGGAAGAAGACCACUGGUUUCCAAGUGGAGAGUUUCAUAAUAACUUGCUACAUUACCAUGACUACCAACUGGUCUGACCCUUGAGAUCGAUCAUAAUACACAAUUAUAGAACUAUGUUACACUUUAACUACGAUAACUAUACCCAUUCUAAUCCUGAGGUUUGUUGUUUUAUGAGGCACUAGAGCUUCCUGGCAUAGAAUUCUAAAUAGCCUUGAAUGAACUGCAAAUCCUAUGACAGUUAAAGUGGAAUCAUAGUGCUUUGAAAGUGUAGUAUAAACGAGGCCCCUGCCAUGUGAUCCAGCAUAAGUGUAAAUAAAUUCUCUGUUGUAUUGUACUUUGCUUUGGUUAGCCCUCCUGGACACCUGGAUAUCAAUAAACAGGAAGAUGUCUAGAUAUUGUCUAGGGCAACCAAGACAGUAAAGGGUGUUGAAUGUAUUUAGCCUGAAGACUAGAACGGCAAUAUGAAAGCCAUCUUAAGAUAUGUGAGGGUAUAAUAAGCUUUUUCCCUCUAUUCCAGAGAAUAGGACCCAAACCAAUGAGUUGAAAUUAUAAGAAAAUAUAAGAAAGGAGCUCCUGAUCGAACAAAAAAAAUUGUCUGUUAACCAAAGGACAACAAAAGGUAGAGUCAAGCCUAGGACUUCAUCAGAAGAGUGUAGGGCUCCAUUUCCAUGCACUGCAGAAACUGAGCCCAAUGGGAGUUCCAUGGGAGCCAUCCAGUGAGGCUCCCUAGGGCUCUGUUUCCACAGUGCAUGGAAAUGAAGCCCUACACCCAUCUUCAGGAGUCUGAUGUUACCUGAUUCUGAAUGUCCGUAAGACAGGCGAAAGCAGGGAAAAGACGGGUAAGGAUGUGGGAUGGCUGGCUAUCCCCAAGAUAAGGAAAGACCAGAGAGAACGGAGUAAGAUAGUCCCUCUGCUUUCCACCGCUUUCUCCCGCUCCAUCUGAUGAAAUUCUUAGUCUCCUUUGGAAGGGUGUUCCAGAUCUUAGAAGCAGCUGCCAAAAAGCUCUCUUCUCUCAAUAACCCUCUUUGAGGUUAUAAACACUCAUGAAUUGUUCUAAAGUGAGCAGAUUAAAAUAUACAUACCUAGACUUGGUAUGUGUUUUAGUAUAAGAGUGAGACCAAUUACAGAAAUGGUGAGUUUGGAAGGGAAAUUUGCAGGGAAAGUCCGGCGCCAUCUUUGAGGUAACUGAGGACACUCUCAUGAAAUGUGCACUGACUACUAGAAACAGCCUCCAGCUGUCUCAGUCUCCCAUUUAAGGGAAAGGCACACAUUCUAGUUAGCUUGGCAGCCUGCUUUACUGCUCUCUGAAAUAAAUACAGAGAUAUAUGAAGCUAUUCUGAAGGUAGUUUUAGGACUUCGUCACAAUAAUAAUAGAUUACAUCAAUUGUCUUCAUUUGAUUUUGGAAGCAAUCUGUUACUGUUACUGAUUUGUGUUUUGAUUUAUCUUAUUUUUAAUUUGGAUCUGCAAGGGAGAAGAGGAAGGGAGGAAGAGAGAGCAAAAGAAAAAAUAAAUGUGUGUGCAUGGAUGUGCACUCACACACACACACACUUUCUUACUAAAGAACAGCCUUGAGGAAGCGAUAUGAAAUUUGUCACCUGCUCAUCAGCAUUUGAUGUGAGAUGUUUUGCCACGGGGGUAUUUGUUGUCUUCCAAUACUGUAUACUGGCUUGCCAGAAAGCAGUUUUUUCUUGCCUCAUCUCCCUUUAAGCAAAUUGUAAUGCCUAAGAAAAUAAAUAUUUUCUUAGUGGCACAGCAGAUUAAACUACUGAGCUGCUGUACUUGCUGACUGAAAGGUCAGUGGUUCGAAUCCAGGAAACAGGGUUAGCUCCUGCCAGGGCCGUAGCUAGAAAAAAAUCUUGCAAGGGGGGGGGGGGGUUGAAAAUUUCGGGGAGGGGGGUUGAACCCCUCCCCCCCCCUACAUGCCUAUCAAUAUCUGCUUGAGAUAGUGCCUGCAAGGAUUUUAAUUUUUUGCGUCUCAUAGACGUAGCAUGGGGAUUUGGUUAACGAGUUAAAAUUCAUGAGUAAACCAGGUUUUUUUAAAAAUCUGAAAAAUUUCGGAGGGGGGGGGGGUUCUCAACCUGUGGGUCCCCAGAUGUUUUGGCCUUCAACUCCCAGAAAUCCUAACAGCUGGUAAACUGGCUGGGAUUACUGGGAGUGGUAGGCCAAAAUACCUGGGGGCCCAUAGGUUGAGAACACUGCUCUAGACCUAGGGUUUCUGUAAAGCCGAAGAAUGAUGGCAUUCUCAGAAUGCAGGAGCUUUCUGUGGUUUCACUAUUAUGGAUUGAGCUUUUCUUGAUCAGAUUUAGAUUUUUGGGGGCUUCAGAACCUCUUGUAGGAGAGAGGGACUCAUUAAGAUGAUCUGCUGCAGAGGAACUAUGGAACGGGUUGCAUACUUGAUGGUUCUUGGAAAGUUUCCUGCUGCCUCAGAAGGUGAUCCUGUCAAAGCUCUAGUUCAUGUCUGGAGUGGAGAAAGGAUUGUAGUGGACACAAUUAUUCCUAAAUUGCUUCUUAGAAAACUACCCUACUAGGCUUUCUAAGAAGCUGGUAGCAAAGAAACAAAUGAGAUAGAUGCUAGAAUGACAGUGGCAGAAAAUCAGAGUGAGUUCAACUGAAAACAAGUUCAAAUUUAUCUGAAGGCCUAUAGUAGUGCAAAAAAGCUCACUUUUCUAGUUGUUGCAGCUACACAGAAGGAUUCAAGAGAGCUGUUUCAAGUAGUCUGUGUUACAAUUUGGCCCAAAAGAGAAUUUUAUCCAUUCAGCAACCUUCUGUGAGAAUGCAUCUACAACUUCACAGGUGAAACCACUUAGAUUAACUUUGUCUUGAAUUCCAGAGUUGAUAUGGGUCCAGUGGGUUUAACCUUGGUCUUUGUUCAGUCAGUGUUGAUUGACACUUUUCAAUUAUGCAUCUCAAGAAUGUGAAAAGGAUGCUUUGAAAAUUGAGCGUUUUCACUUGUAUACCAGACCCUUGCUCAUUCUAGCCAGAGGGGAACUGGUUAAGUAAGUAAAGAAACAAAGCAGGAUACCAAACUGUCUUUAACAAAGCAGGAUCCCAAACUGUCUCAUGGAGGUAGUGGUAAGGCUGCUUUUGAAAACAAAUACUACCCUGGAUCCUGCUUUAUUGGAUAACUGCAAGCCAGUUUCAAACAAUCCAUUUUUGGGUGUGGAUUUCAAGAAUUGUGUAGCAGGUUAAGAACUGGUUGACUUUUUUUCUCCUCCCAUUAGCAAGUCAAAACAUAGUUAUGUUCUCAGGAUUUUAAAAAUGGACUGUGAUAGGGUUUUAAUACUGUGUAGUUCUGUUUGACAGUUUGUAUAAAGAUUUUAAUGACUUUGAAUGUUUUUUUUUAAUAAUGACUUUGAAUGUUUUGAACAUUCAGUGUUUUAAUGUUAUAAAUUGUGUGGUGGGUUUUUAAAUAACUUUUGUUAAUGACAGUUUUGAUCUGCAUUUUUUUCUAAAAUAUGUUGUUAGCCACCCUGCGCCCCAUUAUUGGGAGAAAAGUGGGAAUGGAAAGAAUAAAAUAAAUAAAUUAUAAAUUAGAUAGUUUAGAACUUACUUGGAGACAUUGCUUUUUGUCUUCGUUUAGUCAUUCAUUUUGCUUGCCCCAUCCUCCUUCUGGGAGAAAAACGAGACAUGUGAUGACUGCUCUGAUCCUACUCCCCCAAUCUUUGGGCUGGCCUCUCAGCAUUAUGCCAGGAGGAGGGCAAGACAGGCGAUGGCCAAGAGCUCUCCGGAGGGCUCUCAGCCGCUCCGUGCCUUCCUCCGACCGUCCUCUUGGCAUAAGGACACAGCCGUACCAUUCUUAUGCAAGGAGGAAGGUGAGACAUGAGGUGGCUGAGAGUGCUCCAGAGGUCUCUCAACUGCUGCAUGGCUUCCUCCCCCAUCCUUUCUGCAUAAGGAUGAGGCGAGCCACCGUUUCUUUAUGCUGAGAGGACAGGGAAAAUGAGAAGGGCCUGAGGUAAUCAUCCAAUAGGUUGCGUCUGGCCUCUGGGCCUUAGUUUGCCCAUGCCUGAUGUAGGGGGUGUUUUGAAUGGAUUGGGAGGAGCCAGCCUUCUGUGGUGUGAUGAGUCAAAGCACAGCAUUUUCAAAUCAUAAGAAUCCUAAUAAUCAGGUAUGAUGAGGAGAGUAUGCAUCUUGUUUCAAGACAGUAUGCAUCUAGUCCUCUAUAUGGGAUGCAUACUGAUAUAAAUGGAUUACGUAUAUCCUAAUGUGAUAAGAUCCUUUGAGCCAAAUGCCAUCCCUCCACCAAACCUACCUCUAAAGUUGUCAUGAAGAUAUAAUGGGAAGGGCGAAGAGAACUCUAAGCUCCUUAGAGGAAGGAUAAAAAUGUAAUGUAAUCUAAUAAAAGUGCUUCUAAUUUACCUGUUUGACUGUGACUUUUAUUGGCUAUACACCAAGAUCCUAAAUCAGUUUGCUAUUGACUCCUGUCUUAUUUCAAAGCCUGGAAACAUCCACAAGUCAGCAGAUUGGUUAGCAAUUAAGUAAGCUUGUUUCAAGUCAUUAAAAAGUUCUCCACAAACAAUUAAGAUGUCUGGGUGGGGAACACAGUAUUUAUCCUAAAAUCAUUGCAUGAAGAAUCAGUUCUGCAGUCCAAAAGAUCUAUUCUGAUUUUUGCCAUGCUCUGACUCACUACCUUUCUGCAAAAUCAAAAGCUUUUUGCCAUCCUUAGGGCUCACCUCUUUCAAAAGUACAUUAACAAUGAAAAGUAUUUUCCCCUCAAAAUGUCUUUUUCUAUAUGAAAUGAGCCCGACAAUAAAUUUAGUAAUAGACUUCAGUUCCUAUUUUAUGUAAUCAAAAUCCAUGUUCAGAAUUUGCCAUGGGCAAUGUGCUGUUUGAUCUUGGUAGGAUUCAGUCAUCAUCAGAGCUAGUACUUGUUCUCUUAUUGGAAAGGUAAUUGAGUUGGCCUGUAUAAUAUUGAACACUUCCACAUCUGCAUUACUGCCAUUUGCAAUGUACUCCUUUCCAACACUUUUGAGAAUUGUUUUUUGGAGGGAUGUUGCUUCUGUAAUAGAAACUCCAGUUAUAGAGUUAUUUUGGUAUCCUUGACAAAGCUAGAUGCCUAUACUCUGUCAUAUCUCUUGAUUGAUAAGAAGGAAUGUGUGUAUACAUACAGAUUGAGCAUCUCUUAUCAGGAAUUCCAAAAUCCCAAACUAUCCACAUGAGUGGCUAAAUAAGUGACAUCUUUGCUUUCUGAUGGUUCAGUAUGCACACAAGGUAACUAUUUUUCAUAAUUUUAAUUCACCACAAAAAUAUUGUAAAUAUCGUAUAAAAUUAUAUUCAGGAUAUGUAUAUAAGGUGGGUAUAAAACAUGAAUGAAUGUUGUGUUUAGAUCUGGGUCUCCUCUCCAAUAUAUCUACAUCUGCAAAUACAGGGAUUCCAAAAUCCUAAAGAACCCAAAAUAUAAGACAAUUCCAAUCUCAGGCAUUUCAGAUAAAGCAUACUCAACCUCAAUGUAUUUUCACAUGUCUCUUUAUUUCACAAUUCAUCUUCAUCACUGAAGUGUAUGUCGCAUUUUGACUUGGCUUGAUUUGAAAACACUCAUCAUCAUCAUCAUCAUCAUUAUCAUCAUCAUCAUUGGAUAUAUUCAAAACCAAAGUCUGAAGUUAAGUGAUUAACAUAAAAGAAAAGCCCUGCUUGAAAUAAUAACAUUAAAAACAAACCAUCUAUUAAAAUGCACUAUAGCUCCAAGAUCAUGAAACCUCAGUAUCUGAAACUUGGUGUAUAUAUUAAAGAGUUCCUGACUGCAUACUAUAGGGCCAUAUUAAGGACAUUGCCAUGCAAAUAAAACUUCCGUCCUCCCCCAAGACAUUGUCUUUCAGUCCCCACAUUUCUAGCAUUCCAGAGAAAUCCUUGAAAUCCUUGAAAAUCAUUAGUGGCCCAGACACUUAUAUUUGCUGUGUUCACAUCCACACAGUAACUCUGUCUGUUUAUUUUGUUUGGAUGCCUAAAUGCCGAAUGUUUGGAUGCCUAAAUGCCAAAACUUUCAUUUGGGGGAACCAGAAUUUUAAUUGGGAGUCAAUACCUUGAUUUUUUUUCCCUUCUGCAGCUACACCCUGCAGAUGUACAAUUAUAUGUAUUGCUUUUUUAUGGGUUGAUUAAUUUUAAUUGUAUAAAAUCUACCUGUAGUCUGCACUACUAUAUUGAGUCACUGGAUGGCAGACACUAGACUCCUCAGGGAUGAGAGGUUUUUUCAGGAACAUAAAAGCUUAAGGCUUGAUCCAAAUGCUUACCACUGGUUACAGGCAGGACUGAGAUUGGACUUACAUUUUGUUUUGUUUUUCCAGACCUGAAAUGACACAGAUUGUAUUUUUGUGUAGUUCAGCAGCCUUGAGGACCUUUCCUUUUCCCCAUUCCAAUAGUAUGUGCAUAUGUAUGUGUGUAUGUAUGAGUAUAUACAAAGAAAGGAGGGAAGGAGAAUAUCCAAUGCUGGCAGGAGAAGAAAAAAAUGCUGUAUGAGGACAGAUGAUGAAGUAGGGUAAAGUAUGAGACUACAGAACUAGAAAGUACACCGACUAUACUGUACCACUGACUUUUUACCUUGAUUCCAGCAAUUAGCUGGCCUAGAAUCCCAACUUCUUUUGUCUAGAACACUGGUUUCUUAACCAGUGAGUCCCCAGGUGUUUUGGCCUACAACUCCCAGAAAUCCCAGCCAGUUGAUUAGCUGUUAGGAUUUCUGGGAGCUGAAGGCCAAAACAUCUGGGGCCCCACAAAUUGAGAACCACUAGUCUAGAAAUACCUAAAAGGUAAAUAUUUUCCCCUGACAUUAAGUCUAGUCAUUUCUGACUCUGGAGGUUGGUGCUCAUCUCCAUUUCUAAGCUGAAGAGCCGGUGUUGUCCGUAGACACCUUCAAGGCCUGCAUGACUGCAUGGAGUGCUGUUACCUUCCCUCCAAAGCGAUACUUAUUGAUCUGCUCACAUUUAUACCUAGCCCUAAAGAAAUUAAGGGUACAUCUACACUAUGGAUUUAAUGCAGUUUGAUACCACUUUAACUGCCAUGACUCAAAGUUAUGGAAUCAUGGAAAUUGUAGUUCUUUGGUAGAGGAUCUUUAGAAUUCUCUACCAAAGAGUGCUGAUGCCUCACCAAAUAACAACUUCCAGGAUUCUAUAGCAUCAACCAAUACAGUUUAAGUGGUGUCAAACUGCGUUAAUUCUACAGUGUAUAUGCACCCUUUCUCCAACAUUCAAGCCACUGUAGUCCAUUAUACAGUGUUUCAAAAAGACGGACCUGUGGAUUAGAGGAAAUUUUAUGCACAUAUUGAAAUGUACUAUACAUCCCUUUAAAAUGGAAUCAUGUGUAAGUGUGUAAGUAUUCAUCUAUAUGAAUUAACAUACCCAAAUUUUAUAGAAACUAGCUACUCAGCAGGACAUGGACAAUGAAAUCUUAAGGAGAGUGGGUCUUCAUAGAUGGAGAACUUCAUGUCUCAUGGCAUAUGAUAUAGUUUGUUUGAAACUGUCACUGCCCAUUCUAAACAUACAGAGUUGUCUGUCCUUCAUAUUUAACUCAAUGGUUUUGGUUUUGUGUAUAAAUAUAAAUGAAGGUUUCUGUAGUCCAUAGUGAGGGAUCUUUCAUCAGUGGAAUGGGGGGGAAGUAGUAAAUUAAACUGAAAGAAUAUAAAAUCUAAUUUCUCCUCGCAUCUGCAAAUCACCCCUUCCAUAUUAAUAGAAUCUGAUUAUUUAAACAGAAAUAAUCAGAUUUCUCCUGAAAUGAUUCCCAAACGUUAAUGGCUGCUCAAAGGGAUUUGCAUCACAGAUGCAUUUGAUCCAUUAGCUUAAAAUUCAGGCAACAUCUCUUAGGAAAGAAAGAAACAAUGCACAGAUGUGUCAGUCUGAGCUUUGUUGAAGCCUUCUGCAAUAAGAGAUGUACCAUCUGCAAGAGAGAGGGGGGAAAUUGCUUUGUGUGGGUGUACGAGCAAAGGGAUCUCCCAAUGGGAAAAGUUUGAACAGCCCUCCUUCAAAAGAAAAGUUUGUCCGCAUUAAAACUUAACUGCUCUAACUUGGCAGUUCAGCUGUUAUGCUGCCAGUUUCCUAUUAGUUUUUCCACUUGUCAAGUUUAAAAAUCUUCAAGGCUUAUGAAAAAUCCAUAACCACAGGAAAAGCAAGGCACCAAUGUAUGCAAUCUAAUUUAGCUCUCUGCUUGUGGAAUACUGAAGAAUAGGUGACAGUACUUUUGAAAUAUUUUAAAAGCUGAGGACGUUAUUUCUUUUUUGUGAUUCUCUUUUAGUGUAUCUUCCACCCUGACUACAAACUAGAGGUGAUGGUAAUUGUAUCUUUCCAUUUAAUAUGCAGGCUUUUAAAAAACCAAACAAAUGCAAUCACUUGCAGGCUGAAUUACAGCCAUUGCAACUGGUGGGGAGAGAAUAUGCUAACCUUUUUUUCACCUGCUCUGGUCUUAAGAACAAAUUGUCCCUGGGGCCAAAAAACAAGUUUGAUCGAGAUUUACAGCAGAAGAACUAGAAUGAACCAAAUUAAAAUGGAAAAGAAUGUAAUAAUUUCAGUUAUGAGUACUUUGUCUUUGGCUUCAUCUAUACCAGAUAUGGGCAAACUUUCUAACUUGGGUAGGCCAGGCCAAGGUGGACUGGGAGGGAGGGAGUUCUCCCCAAGCCCCCUCCCCUCCCUUUCCUCCCCUUCCUCUUCGCUUUUGGAGGCAGAAAGUGAAGGAAGGACAGGAAACAUUUGGAUCCCAAAAGGGCUGGUGUACAGGAGAGAAAACGUGUGUUCAUUAGACCCCAUAUUGCCAAUCCCUGAUACAGAAUCCUAGAGCUGGAAGAGACCUCCGAGGGCCAUCCAGUCCAACCCCCUACCAUGCAAGAAAGCACAAUCAAAGCACUCCCAAUAGAUAGCCUCUGGAGAAAAGCCUCCAGAGAAGGAGACUCCACUACACUCCCAGGCAGCCUAUGCCACUCUCCAACAGCUCUUACUCUCACAAAGUUCUUCCUAAUCUUGUCAGUCACAUCACUUUUCCUGCCAUUGCUCCCUUGUGCCCUGGUCUCUAGAGCAGCAGAAAGUCAGUUUUCCCCCUCUUUCCUCCUCAACGGGAACCCUCUGAAAUCUUGAAAUACGGUUCUCAUGUUCCCUCUCAACCAUCUCUUCUCUCAGGUAAACAUCCCCUAGGAGGAAGGAAAAAGAGAAGAAAGGGAGGGGAGGGAGGUAGGAAUAGAAGGAUGGAUGGAAGGAAGGGGGGAAGAUAAUGGAGGGAGGGAAGAGAAAGGGAAGGAAAGUCAAAAGGGAGGGAGGGAGGGAGGGAGGGAAGGAAGGAGAAAGGGAGAGAGGGAAGGAGGGAGGAAAUAGGGAAGGAAUGAAGGAUGAAAGGGUGGAAGGUGGAGGGAAGGAGGGAAGAAUUAAGAGGGAGGUAAGGAAGAAAGGAAAGGAUGGAAAAAGGAAGGAAAAAGAGAAGGAAGGAAGGAAGGUUAGGAUGGUGAGAUUAAGGAGGGCCUGAGAAAAGAGCCCAAGGGUUUGCCCAUACCUGAUCUAUACUGUAGAAUUAAUGCAGUUUGACACCACUUUAACUGCCAUGCUCAGUGCCAUACAAUCAUGGGAGCUAUAGUUUUACAAAAACUUUAGCCUUCUCUGCCCAGAAGUGUUGGACCAUCACUAGGGACCUCAUCCCAUGAGCGGUGGGAAAGCAGGGGGGAAAAGGAGGGAACUGCCACCCCAUGUUUUUACUGUAUCAAUGCCUGUCUUCCCCUUGCUUUUUCUAACUUUCUGCUAUUUGGAGUCAAAAGACAGAGGAGCCAAAUAGGAAGCAGGGAAAAAUGGGGAAACAUGGGAAAGAAAACUACGGACACUGAUAGAAGGUAACAGAGCCUGACAGCUUCCUCCGGUGCCCCACAAUUGCCUCAAGAUUGCCCCCUCUUUCCCCCGCCUUACCUCUGCUCAUAUGAUAAGGUCCUGAGCCUCUCAUGUAUGUAUAUGUAUGUGUGUAUAUAUGUACGUGCACACACACACACACACACAUUCCUUCAUUCAUUCUUUGGUUACUUUUUUUUUUUGCAGGCCUGUAUCUUUGGGGGGGGGGGGGUUGGUAAGUGUUCAACCCCUCUGAAAUGUUUCAGGUUUUCAAAAAACCUGAUUUACUCAUAGUUUUUUUUUACUGGUUGACCAAUUCAUGAGUAAACCACGUUUUUUAAAACCUGAAACAUUUCAGGGGAGGUUUGAACACUUAACAGCACACCCCCCCCCCCCCCCGGAUACAGGCCUGCUUUUUUGUUCCCCCCCCCCAAGUUGUUUUCUCAAGUUCUAUAUUGAAAUGAAAUUUUGUAAUAUCACAGUGAAGCAAGAUUCUAAUUAUGUUUGACUGUUGAUAGACAAUAUAGAAAAGAAAAGCAGGCAAGCAAAUGCCACAGAAAUGUAAUUUAUUGGGUAAGAAAAAUAUUUAUAAGCUCUUUUUAUUUGAAAUCACUUGUUUUGAAUGAGGCCCUUUCACCACUUCAUCUGCAUACAUGUGUUUCAAACUGAUGUACAUUCUUAAUAAAGAUUAUCAGAUUUAUUGUUUUAAAUGACCUGUUAAUGGCCAUAAAAAUCUUCAACACAUUGACAAUUUAGCUGAGAACAAUUUUUUUCUCUCUGAACAGUAAACUCAUGAACAGUAAACAUAACUGACUAUGCUCUCAAAAACUUUGUUGGCAAAUUGUGUCUUUGUUCAUCACCACCAUUGAUUGUCCACAGAUUGGAGUAUUUUCUGCAUCCAAAGAGAAGAUGACCUGUUUGUAACACAUAGGCAUUAAUCAAGGGCCCGGUUACCGUUUCAGCAAUUAAAUUUGUGUUUCUGUACUGUUUUGUACAUUCAGGAUGUAGGAAACUUUACAUCCCCCUCCGGCAUGGAAACAUCAGUGAAAUGAAAGUUAAGUAGAGAUGGUAACCAUUUGUUUGUCUGAUUUUUGGCUUUCUGCUGCAGGCCUGGCAGGGCCUACAGCCGGGUACUGUGUGAGAGGCAAUAGGCGCGUUCGGAUUUAGGCCUGGAAGGUCCUGGCAGGGCCUAAAUCUGAGUGCACUGACUGCCUAUCACCUCUCGCUCGGCUGUAGGCCCUGCCAGGGCCUAAGAUUGUGGCCCUUGGCACACUGGGAUUUAGGCCCUGGCAGGGCCUACAACCGAGCACUGAGUGAGAGGUGAUCAGUGCUUUGCGUGCUCGAAUUUAGGCCCUGGCAGGUCCUACAGCCAAGCACCAAGUGCCAAGCACUGAUAGGUGAUCGGCACACCUGUAUUUAAGCCCUGUCAGGGGCUCUCGAUGCACACCUGUAGGCUGUAGGGUCUGCCAGGGCUUAAAUCCGAACAUGAUGAUCACCUCUCACUCAGUGUUCGACUGUAUGCCCUGCCAGGACUUAAAUCCCAGUGCACCGAGGGCCACAGAUUUAGGCCCUGGCAGGUCCUGGCGCUUUUCCAUCCAAAGUCCGAAAAUAUUUGGGGGGGUUGGACCUUGGAUGGAAAAGCUCAUUCAGAAAUGCACCCAUUUUCAGGAGAGGUGAUUGAAAAUGAAAAUGGGGCCUUAAGAAUGAAACAAAUAGUGAUUCCAUACAAAUGCACAAGACUAUUAGGCACAUAUAGUAUGCAACCUCCAAAAAAAUUGUCUAUGCUAUAAAGAUGGAAAAGCUGUGUAAUGAUAUACAGUCAGUCCCUGAGUUACAAACAUAUGACUUACAAAUGACUCCUAGUUAAGAACAGGAGGUGAGAUAAAUCUACCACUAGGAAGGGAAAUUCACCCCUGAAAGAGUUAUCAUGGGGAAAAACUGCAAAUCCCAGGAUUGCACAGUAUUGAGCCAUGACAAUGAAAUUAGAAAUGUCACAUGCACGCACAUACACACGCACAUAUAUAUGGCUGUAGUUACACUUAAAAAUGUACUUGUUCUGACUUACAUCAAAUUCAACUUAAGAACAAACCUAUAGAACCUAUCUUGUUCGUAACUUGGGGCCUGCCUGUAUAAACAUAAUUCACAUGCUCAACACAUGCCAGUAUGGCACAUAUUUACCUUUUCCUUUGCAUUUGUGCACACUUUGUUUUUAUCCUUAGUGGCAAAUUCAUUGUUAUGUAGAAGUUUACAAAUGGUGGAAGGAAACUUUCAGAACUUAAAAAUACUAUCUGUUGGGUUGGUUGGCCAUUGUGGUCUGCUCCAACUCUAUGAUUCUAUGUUAGAAACAUUGAUUUACCAUUGGUAGGAAUGUUAUUUCCCAGGAGGUGGGAAAAUGGGUAACUUUGAUCAGGGUUUUGGCACCUACCCAGUAUUUACUCAAGCCUAAUAGAAUCUAAUGCACACCUCAAGUUUCAAAACCCUGAAACCAAAAAAAGCAUUUGCUGCCUAAUGUAGUGUGCAGCAGCAAAAGGUGCACUUUUUGAAAUUUGUCCAUUACAGUUGCUGCCUGUUUAGAAUUCGUUCUUUAAAAACAAAAGUGUUAAAACAACAAAGCUUUCAGCAAUGGAAAAUAAACCUUGGGGUAUAUGAUAUUUCCCCUUUCCUUUGCUUCCUGGGGGAGAACUUUGGACGGAACAAAAACACCCCAUGAGGGAUAUGAUUGUUUAUCACUACAUUUUGCCAUUUGCAGAGACUUUUCCCUUAAAAGACAGCAUUCUAGCACCACCCUCUUCUUCGUAAGGAAUGUUGUUUGCUUAGAGACCCAGCAAGAACUGGUUGGGAGAAGUUACUGUGUUUUGUACAGGAAAUCCCAGCGGUUGCCUUCCUUUUGGUUGUUUCUUUUGUUUCUUAUUGGUUCUAGCCACUUUUGAUAGUUAUUUGUAUUUCUAUGCCUUCCUACAUUUCAGAAAAGAAGAUGAAUUUCUGAAAGAGAGUGAGGGGAAAAAGUCUGGUGUAAAGCAAAAAAAAUCCAACAAGCAGGCAAUAUGACAACACACAUUCCAGUGCUAAGUGAAAAUAUUGGCAUAUGAAUGGACUAUUCCUGUAUCAUGUUGUCCAUCCCAAUCAAACCCAAGUGGUGCACUCUAGUCUUUAAUUUUCUUGAAAUAGAAAUAGUGUGAGGAUAUACACAAAAAGUAAACAACACACUUGGUCUUUACAUCAUCCUAGUAAUAAUAGUAACAAUUCCUAAGCAUGAACACAUUCAGAUUCAUGUGUACUUCAGGGAGUAGAAGAGAUGUAGCUUGGUUUUGGAUAUUGUGGACCAUUAUGGCUUGCCAUAAGACAAUGUUCAUUGUUUCAGAACUGGGAAAGUUUGGUUCUUUUUACUUUGCAGAAAGGAGAGCUGACUAAUGGGGUAGCACAAUAUUGACUACUAAUUUCAUUAGCCCUGUUGAAUCUGUGAAUAAACUUUGGGGGUGGGGUGGGGGUGGAGAUAAGAAUACAAACCAUUCAGCUGUGUUGCUGCACUCCAGAAGUAGAGAAGUUAACUGGACUAGCAUUGAAAUUUUUUUAAUCACUGAUAGCAAAAUAGGGGUCCUCCACAUCAUCUGAGGGCACGAUGCCAGUAUAGAGGAUUCGGGGCAGACUAUGUGGCAUUCACAGUGCUGAUAUGAACACCAUCCAAAAGGCUUGAAAGGAAUAACUGAAAUAAGUACCACUGCUGUGCCCAGCACGUGCCAUUUAAUGUGGUUGCUUCAUCUGCUUAAUAGAAAGGACCAAAUAUAUUGUGUGUGCCUUCAAGUCACCCGUUGAUUUAUGGUGACCCCUUAAAUUUCAUGGAGUUUCUUAGGCAAGGAAGGGUCAGAAGCAGUUGACUGAAAUAUAGUACAUUUACCCACCAGUGUUAUAGGAUGGAGGCUAUCAUCUGCCAAUCGUAGAAGUUGCUCCUGUAGAAUUCUGGGAAAUGUAGUUCAGUGUGGAGGCUUUGGAAUUCUCAGCUAAAGAGGUCCUCAGCUUCUCUAAACUACAUUUCCCAGAAUUCUGCAGGAGCCUCCAUUCUAUUACGCUCCAUAGCCUGCAGCACCCGGUAUUCACUGGUAGUCUCCCAUCCAACUACUAACCAGAGCUGACCUUGUUCAGCUGUGCCUUUAGGGCAUUUAGGCUCUCCCUAGGAUAACACAAAUGAAUACUGUACAUUCUUGAUUUCUUCAGUCAUAAAUUUUAAACAAACAGUCAAAAUAUCCCAAUAGCCAUACAGCCCGAAAAACUCACAGCAACCCCAUCUAAACAUCUUUCAAAGCCUAGAAUGGUAUUUUAAUUGGGUAGUUUCACCUUCUUUUUAUCUCUGAAGUUUAAUGGGAACUUAGGGAGAUUCUUCCUAACAGAUAUCUAAAACGGCAUCUGGCAGUCCCUAUGAGAUGUUCUUUUUUCCUACGCCACUGGAUUAGAUGAGAUGCCAAAAUAAGAUAUGCAGGAUUUGGGGGCUGAUACAUUUCUGUCUGCACGUUUUAAUAGUGUCAUGGCACAUUGUUAUUGUAAAACCUGAACUCGUGCUUGGAUGCCCCAUAAAAAGAGGUUUUGCUCUAGUAAACGACUUUAGUGCUUAUCAUAUAACAAUAAUGGCUUUAACAUUAAAGCUAAAAGCACACAUUACAGAUUGACUAUAGCAAGCUGUGAACUCCAUUAUUUUCAAUCAAAUAAGGUUACAAUCCAUUUAAAGGCUCACUGCCUUUUGUGGUGAACUAUCUGGAAAAAAUGUAAGUUGUCCAUAGAUAAUAAUAGGACAAAGUUACCCUCAUUUCAGUGGCCACAUUCAGUUUAGUUCAAGUAUAAUAUUUAGGCUGGCCCAUGUUAUUGUACUGACUGAGGGAGAGCAUUUGUGAUUCCAUAUUAACUCACCAUUAAACAACUGAUUGAAUUUGGGCUAACCAAUUGGACACCAGCCAUAAUCAUGUAUGGUAAGGGAGCUCAAUACCAAAAAGACCAAUCCAAUGUGUUUUAUUUUGGCACCUUUACCAGAAAAACCACAUCAACUGUGGGUACAAAAUGGCCAAUGAUAUAGCUAGAUAAAGGCAAUCAUAAAAGCCAAAACCCAAAACCAAAACCUCAUACAGGUUGAACACCCAUUUAUCUGGAAUUCCAAAAUACCUUUUCCAGAAAUUCCUUAUCUGGAAUUCCAAAUGCAAAAUAUUUCAAAUGUUGUUCAGGCACUUCUGUGGACAAUUCCAGAUUUUGAAGUAUUUCAGAUUUCAGAAUUCCUGCUAAAGUAUACCCAACCUGUAUAAUGUCUCAUGAGAAGAUAUUUUUGCAUAAUAACUUUGUAACCCUUUAAAAAAAACAGAGAAAAGAUUUGUUCUUCAAACUGUAGGAUGACCUCAACAAAUCAUGCCUCCACAGAAAAAGAAAAACUUUGAAGAGCCCUAAGAGAUCUAAGACAUUUCUAAAAACUGCCCCCAGAAAAGCAUGAAACACGUGGACACAGAGGCAAUAGCAAACAGCCAAUAUAAUGAGAAUUCAUGCUUCUUUAGACCAGUCAGGAAGACGUUAAAGCAUUUUUUGGGGUGCCAAAAAUCAAAGGAUCAUUACUUUAAUGCGGUGCUGGGGCUUGAGUGCCUCGAUGAUGCCAUGAGCUAAACCAUGCAGGGCCACCCAAGACGGGAAGGUCAUGGCAGAGAGGUCAGAUUAAAUACGAUCCUUAGGGAAGGUAACGGCAACCCACCCCAUAUUCUUGCCAUGAAAACUACAUGGAUCAGUACAACCAGAGAAAUGUUGGUAUACCAUCGGAAGAUAGGACUCCCAGGUCGGAAGAUGGUCAAAAUGCUACUGGGGAGGAACAGAGGACUGGUUCAACUAGCUCCAGAUGUGAUGAUGCAGUUAUCUCAAAGCUGGAAGGAAGGCUAACAGCCGACGGUGCUGGAGUUGAACGACGAAUCCGAUGUUCUAAAGAUCAACACACUAUAGGAACCUGGAAUGUAAGAUCUAUGAGCCAGAGCAAACUGGACAUGGUUACUGGUGAGAUGUCAAGAUUAAAGAUAGACAUUCUCGAAGUCAGUAAACUGAAAUGGGCCAUUUCACAAAAGAUGACCACCAGAUCUACUAUUAUGGACAAGAGGAACACCGAAGAAAUUGAGUAGCCUUCAUAGUUAAUAAUAAAGUUGGUAAAGCAGUGUUUGGAUACAACCCAAAAAAUGAUAGAAUGAUCUCAAUUUGAGUUCAAGGUAAGCUGUUUAACAUCACAGUGAUCCAAAUAUACGCCCCAACCACAGCUGCUAAAAAAGCAGAAUUAGAUCAGUUCUAUGAGGGUCUGCAGCACCUACUGGAUAACACACAAAAAGGGGACAUUAUUUUCAUUACAGGAGAUUGGAAUGCUAAAGUGGGCAGUCAAAUGAUAACCGGGAUCACAGGCAAGCAUGGUCUGGGACAACAAAAUGAAGCAGGACAUAGGCUGAUAGCAUUUUGCCAGGAAAACUCACUGUGCAUAACAAACACUCUCUUCCAACAACCUAAAAGACGGCUUAACACAUGGACUUCACUGAAAUUAGAUUGACUACAUCCUCUGCAGCCAAAGGUGGCGGACAUCCAUCCAGUCGGUGAAAACAAGACCUGGAGCUGACCGUAGUUCAGAUCACGAACUUCUUAUUGCACAAUUUAGAAUAAAACUAAAGAGAAUGGGGAAAAUACACAGACCAAUUAGAUAUGACCUAACAAAUAUCCCUAGUGAAUAUGCAGUGGAGGUGAAGAAUAGAUUUCAGGGACUAGAUUUAAUAAGUAGAGUCCCAGAACUAUGGACAGAAGUUCACAACAUUGUUCAGGAGGUGGCAACAAAGUACAUCCCAAAGAAAAAGAAAACCAGGAAGGCAAGAUGGUUGUCUGCUGAGACACUGGAAGUAGCCCAAGAAAGAAGGAAGGUGAAAGGAAACAGUGAUAGGGGGAGAUAUGCCCAAUUAAAUGCACAAUUCCAGAGGUUAGCCAGAAGAGACAAGGAACUAUUUUUAAACAAGCAAUGCACGGAAGUGGAAGAAGACAACAGAAUAGGAAGGACAAGAGACCUCUUCCAGAAAAUCAGAAACAUUGGAGGUAAAUUUCAGGCAAAAAUGGGCAUGAUCAAAAACAAAGACGGCAAGGACCUAACAGAAGCUGAAGAGAUCAAGAAUAGGUGGCAAGAAUAUACAGAAGAUUUGUAUAGGAAGAAUAGUAAUUUAGAGGAUAGCUUUGAUGGUGUGGUGAGUGAAUUAGAACCAGACAGCCUGAGGAGUGAGGUUGAAUGGGCCUUAAGAAGCAUUUAUUUAUUUAUUUAUUUAUUUAUUACAUCAUUUCUACCCCGCCCUUCUCACCCCUCAGGGGACUCAGGGUGGCUUACAACAUGAACAUAUACAUCAAAACAAUUUAUAUCACGUUUAAAAAUCCAUUUAAAUUAAAAAUUACAUUAAGAUUGAGAGCUUACAUUUAAAAAACCCUACAUAGUUAUACAUAUAAAUAUACAUUCAGGCGCAUUUCAAGUGGGG